GCUUCAAUCAUGCAUUACUUUUAUUUAUUCUAACAAGUUAGACUUCAAUUCAAAUAAAAAACAUUAGUUGGUAUAUAGAACUAUUCUCAUUAGAGUCCUCAAUCCAUGGCUUUUGCUCGAGAUUUGGGACUUGAUAAGGUGGUUGUGGAAGGGGAUUCUCUUACCGUGAUUAAAAAUGCAUCGUCUAACUAUCUUGAUCUCUCUCCUAUUGGUCCCAUUAUUCAAAGUAUUAGACACAUGAGAAAUUUUUUUCAAUAUUGUGAUUUUGUGUUUACUCGAAGACAAGGGAAUAUUGUCGCUAAUCUAUUGGCAAGGUUAGGUAAGGAUUAUGGAGAAAAUACCUUAUGGAUGGAGGACGGGUCGGAGUAGAUCUAUCGGCUUCUGGAAGAAGCUCAACAUUUUCUCUACUUAGAAAAGUUUGUUUUGCUUUUUCUUCUGCUUCCUUGGUCUGGUUUUGUUUCUUGCCUGUGGGGAGUGGGAUUGCUGUCGCACAACAACUUGAUUGCAGGUUUUGGCACUGUUCUCCCUUUUGGCGUCCCUGAUUUGAGGUUUUCAGUAUUCUUUCAUUUAUUCAAGAUGGGGAUUUUUUGGUUUGGCUCUUCAACUUCUAUAGACUUUGAGAGGGUUUUUUUUGUUUUGUUUUGUUUUAGAUGUGAGGAGAUUGGUUUUUCUUUUUCUACUAUCUUUUUAAACUUUAUUUAAUGUUUUUUUUAGUUUUAGAAUUGAUUUUGUUAAGUGAUUGGAAAACACUUGCACUGUGUUUGGUUCAGUGUAUUAGGUAAUCUAUUACUGACCGAUUACUCGCCUAUUACAUUACGCCCCUAAUCUGGCGUUUGGUUCGCUGUAAUAGGUACAAUCCCGACCUAAUCCCCAAAUUCUCUGCUUUUCUAAUCCCUUCCUAAAUCGAGUAAUAGGUAUUACGCCGGCUUCCCUCCCCAACUCUCUGUUUUACCCUCUCUCCCUACCCGACCCUUUCCUUCCCCUUUGUUUCUCUUCUGUCCCUUCUAGCCUCUGCCGAUUUGCUCCCUCUGUUUCUCAUAGUUCUCCACACGCCACAUCUCUACAAAAAUAACAGCCUUCAAAGUCGGCAGGAUUUUACGGCAUUUAUUUGAGCCCUGUUCUUCUCCUUCUUCCUAGACGUGGGGUUUCCAUUUCCCAGUUCUUCUCGUCCCUUUCUUAAAGUCGGCAUCUUCCUUUGCUUUCUCCAGUUUUCUCCUACCCAACACCUUCUUCAAGGGUGUGUUCUUAUUUGAAUAGCCUUUGUUGUAGCUAUUUGCAAAAUGCUGGCUGCUAGUGUUAAUGCCCCCUUGUGGCCUUCAUUAUCUACUGGACAUCGAUUAGAGUCACGAAUUGAAUGCAGUAGCCGUUAUGGCUUGGUUAGAAUUCCGACUCGGAUUAGGCCAUGGGAACUUGGCUUGCAAUCACAACCUAGUGUAGGAAAAAGUAGAAAACAAUCUUCAUCCAUUGCAUGCACCGCAACUGCUUUGAAUGCAACUUGCAGUGCAUCAGGACAAACUCAAACUGUUACUCGUAAGGCACCAACUAUCACCUAAGCUCCUGUUCAUUUUCGACUUUAGGCACCCCAACUUAGGUUUGAAUUGCUGGAGACUCCUAUAAACGUUGGUUGGAGCUUGAAAAUCGAACCGAUGAUAUUACAAUCAUAAUUGUACAGAUCAAUGGCCUAUCAAAUGAUGUGGGUUAGUCGAAAGGAGCAAGCAGAAGUCGUUUUUGGCAUACAACAUUCUCAGGGCGAAUGAUUUCAGCACGCCAAGGACAUCUUGCUAAUGGAACACAGUGAAAUUUGUCAAGGUGAAGGUACUUUAGCUCUGAUCUUGCACCUGUUAAUCCAAACAUGCAGAGAAAUCCAGCUUGAAGUUGAUUAUUGCGACUCGAUGAAACGGUGGGUCGGGGGAUUAGGAAAACAUGUACUUUCUAUGUGAACUGUUUCCAGCAGUGCUGGGGUGAUAAGUGAGUGAGGCAGGGAUGAUGAUACCAUUGAUAUGGCUAACUUCCCACGAUGUAGUCUGUAAAUUUCAUGAUUGUAUUGAUACAAAAACUACAUAAUGAUAAAGCCUACAGGUUUUAUAAUCUA